GAGAAAAAAAACAAACUGUACUCAUUCCUAGUAUUGGUGGAUGGCAGAUGAAGUGGCCUCGAAUGAAAACACCCAGUAACUAUCACACAAUGUGAUAUAUUGUUUAUAUAUUUUUUUGCUUCUUUGUGUUUAACUUAACUAGAAAAGCUUUUCUAUUUUAUAUCUCCACAGAUAAAAGGAGUCAUAUGCAUAGAAAUGAAAAAUAUUCCUGUAUAGUUUCUCCUCCAUUGAGUGUUCUGCUGUUAGAAAAUGAUUUUUCAUGGGGACCAUUUGUCUGCUGUGAUGGUUGGCUUUUGUUACCACACAAUUUGAAUUUAAAGGAUGGGAAACAGGUACCUAAACAGUUAUAAACAAUCUAAGAGCGAUGACUGAUGUUGCUAAGCAACCCUGAAAGGUUCUGAAGAUUCACAGCUAGGGGCAAAAACACGAGUUUAACAUAUGGCAGACGUGGAUAUUACAAAUAGGAUCAUUGGCUGGAGCUUCCUGUGACCACCAGGCAUCUCUUACUCUGCAGACCAAGUGGAACCCAUUGCAGCUAAACCCCCACCCCUCCUACCCCCAGGAUGGUGUACAUAUUUUCAAAGUGCAUAUGUGUGCAGGAGGAUCAUUGAUGGCUCGACACUGCUUUAGGAGAGGACCAGGAGGACGGACACAAUAAAAACCAUGAUGUGUCCUGAGGGAGAAGCAGAGGAGGUUUAUGAGA